GCCGCCCAAUGAAAAACCAAGUGGAAAAUGGAGUAAGCCGUGCUAUGUUCCUGUCAAGGCACAUUUGCUACUUCCCAAAAGGUUUUAUUCUAUUACCAACCAAGUAAAGGCACUUAACCAAAUGGAGAAGCAUACCUUUCUCUGGUUAUAUCUGAUUGACACAGGUCUUCCAUCAGGAGAAUGUGUAUGAGGAAUAUUCUGUUUGGCUAAAGCUGCAAAUGCUGUCUUUGCAAAGUCAGACUCAUUCAGAAGAUUCUUGUAUGGGCUGGAAGUACAACAAGGCACUGUUUUGAGAGCAGAGAAAAAACCAACACUGUGAAGCGAUUGUGAUUCCAACAAAUGGCAGCCAAAUGUUGCUGGGUAUUUAAUACAUGGAGAAGUUGUUUACUCAUCAGGACUGGACUCAUUGUAGCACAAGGCUCAAGGAUUCAAUCCACUCUUAUGUUUGCUCAGCUUGGCUGGAAUUAGGAAAUGUCUUAAUUGAUGAUUUUUUCUUGAUUAAACUCAUGAGGGAACAUCUGUUGGAGACAUCAAUUUUGAAUUUUCUUAGAAAUGUAUUUUAAAUUACUUGAAUCUGAGGACGGUAAAUGACCUACAGGAAAAACAAACACCGUUUUCAGAGAAUUGAAUUUACGGGACCAGCGGAUAUGUAUGGUAAUGAGAAGGGCUGGGGCAGAAGGUUGGGGAAUUAAGCACCAAGAAAAAGGGUGUAAGCCUGGGAGUUUUAUUAAAGCCUGUUCAGCAG
rnacentral:lncRNA from 1 species